AUUUUGCAGUGAAUAAUCUUGUCGAGAAAUGGCUAAGAAAUUGCUACUCGCUGUAGUAUCUGAACCCGAGUGCAAGAAAGAGAGGACCGCUCCAGGAAGGAGAAAAAAGCAGGGACUCUGCCCAGAGGAAUCGAGCUCUAAAAAAUUGAAGGUGAAUAAAACGACAAGGUCACCCGGGAAAGCAGUUACAAGACCUAGCUACCAAACCACUCCAGGAUGCGCAGUCUGCCCAAACAGCCAAACAGAGAAGCAUAUGAGAAGUUUAUAGAAAGGGGAAAGGAGCAGGAGAUCUUAUUGGGGGGAUGAAGUUCAGUCCUGCCAACCCAUCCCAAGUCUACACCGCAUCUGGCGACAGCACUCUGAGCCUGCAGGAAUUUGGUGGUAGAACAGCUCAGAUAUUCUCAAACACUUCAGACUGCAGGCACGAUCACCAUAACGUUUGUUUGUGGUACUGCAACCUUGACGUCUCCGCAAGCAGACAGGUGGUGGUGACGGGAGACAACGUGGGAAACGCCAUCCUCCUGAGCACAGAUGGGAAAGAGGUGAGGUAGCAGCGUCAGAUAGAGGGAACGCAGCCAUCUGGCAGGCAGGGUUCCAAACAGUCAACUGUUACACUGUAGUUGCACUUGUAUGUGGGGGUGGGGGGGA